GUCUCUUUUACAAUGGUGGUCUAUGGGGAAAAUGCUUUUUGGGCUGCAGGGCGAUUUUUCGCUACAAUACCGCGAGUGGAUACUGGGAAAAAAUGGCUGCAAGGCUGAGCGGCGGCACCCUAUCCAGCUCUUAUUAGACAUCCAUGGGUCUUGCUCUCCUGAUGGUUUCAUUUUUGUCUGUCGUCAUACUGGCUCUGAAAUAGGCCCAUAUGUUGGCGUUUCCAUUAGCAAAAAUAUUUUUGUUGUAGGAGAAUAAGCAAUGCUUCCCACUGAAAAAACUCAAGACAUCCACUUAAUACAAGCAUGUUGCUCCAGACGGGAUUUUCUGGGGACCAUGAAUGUCUGUAUAAAAUUUAAUGGCAUCUGAAACUUGUGGAGAUGUUUCAUUCUGGUGGUGGACCAACUGUCAGAACAACACUGCUAGCUUGGCUAAAGAUCUAUAGUUGCCCUGGAAAACACUUAUUUAAGUGCUUACAAAUAAGGAACUACAGUGUGUGUUAGUAGCACAACAGUAACCUCCUCAGUUCAUUCUUCAGCUAUUGUUUUUUUCCUCUUUAAAUUAAAAUUGUUUGGGGCAAAGUGGUGAAGUGGCACCAUCAAAGCUUCCUGGUCAUGGAGAAUCUGACAUACGCUACUAAAGAGAACCUACAAAACAAAUACUGCUUAUCCAACCAAGAGAAAGAAAUGCAGCUUUUGUGUGACAGAAUGAUGAAUUAGUUAAUAAUUGCAUAGACAUAUUUAUUAAUCAUUAUUUCUAAUUCUUAGUUGUUAUUUUUCUCUAUGUAUCCAAUAGCUUUUUGUGUUGAAAACCAAUAAAUGUAUUUUACUACAAACAACAUAAAUCUACAGAUCCUGGGAGGGGCCAUGGAGAAAAGAAAUAUUGAUUUGUGCUCUUGAUUUAGUAAUUCGUGCCUUGGAUCCAGCUUGGAGCGGUAACUGAUGCUACAGGGGAAAUGUCUUCUUUAUUGCUUUCUUAAAACUUCCAUCUGACUCGUAAAAAUAGUUCAAUCGAGAGCACAAAUGAUUGAAUCAGGAGCACAAAUUAUUAAUUUGGGAGCGCAAUUCAUUAAAUCUAGAUCACAAAGUAUUCGUUUUUUUUUCCCUCCAUGGACCUUUACAGGCUCUGUAUAUAUCAAUGGUUAAUGGUUGUAAAAUAGGAUGUAUGUUGAAAGAACUGAUUCGCAGUCAUUACUACCACUUAUCCAAAAACUCCAGGGACCAAAGGGGAGCUGAGGAAGCGUAUUUCGUGUCACUUCUCUGAAAGCUCGUUUUGUCAUAUUUACACUUUACCUCAAAGUGCUGAAGUGGUUCCAUAAUGCAGCUGGAAGCCUUUAAACCUGCUUUGUGAUUUUCUGAAAGUUUUCAACUCCGCCUGGACCCAGACCUUCAGAAAGUUCCUCCUGACAGCUCUGCAGCCGUUCCACCGAGCUGACUGUAAUAUUAUAAGUUGCACAGACUUACAGUAACUCCUCCAGAAAGUCCCUUCACAGUGUGAGAUGGUCUUACUGCAACUUAAAUUAAUAUUACAUCUUAAAGAGUAAAUGGCCACAGGGCUAAUGAGAAGAAAGUCUGCUACAACUAUCAGGGCUGAUCAGCAUUAACGCUCUGCUGUACUGCUCAGAUCUCUCUAAUCCAGCACUCUUCAGUUUAAAGCUGAGGAGGUGACGCUGAAGAAUCUGCUGGAGAACAGAUUAAAGCUGUGCAGACAGAAGUAAUGAUAGUGUCAGUGAUGAUUGUAGAGAACUAUACAAGAACUCAGUGUUUCACUUUGAAUUUCUGAAGUUGUCUGCUGGGCUUUUUUUAGAGAUGUAGUAUGAGUUAAUAUGCCAUUAAAGUGAAAUUAAACUGC